rnacentral:rRNA from 1 species
AGUGAACGCUGGCGGUAGGCCUAACACAUGCAAGUCGAACGGCAGCACAGUAAGAGCUUGCUCUUACGGGUGGCGAGUGGCGGACGGGUGAGGAAUACAUCGGAAUCUACUUUUUCGUGGGGGAUAACGUAGGGAAACUUACGCUAAUACCGCAUACGACCUACGGGUGAAAGCAGGGGAUCUUCGGACCUUGCGCGAUUGAAUGAGCCGAUGUCGGAUUAGCUAGUUGGCGGGGUAAAGGCCCACCAAGGCGACGAUCCGUAGCUGGUCUGAGAGGAUGAUCAGCCACACUGGAACUGAGACACGGUCCAGACUCCUACGGGAGGCAGCAGUGGGGAAUAUUGGACAAUGGGCGCGAGCCUGAUCCAGCCAUACCGCGUGGGUGAAGAAGGCCUUCGGGUUGUAAAGCCCUUUUGUUGGGAAAGAAAAGCAGCAGGUUAAUACCCCGCUGUUCUGACGGUACCCAAAGAGUAAGCACCGGCUAACUUCGUG